CUGAAUGAUCUCCCUACAGGUUAAUAUUACUACUGAAUGAUCUCCCUACAGGUUAAUAUUACUACUGAAUGAUCUCCCUACAGGUUAAUAUUACUACUGAAUGAUCUCCCUACAGGUUAAUAUUACUACUGAAUGAUCUCCCUACAGGUUAAUAUUACUACUGAAUGAUCUCCCUACAGGUUAAUAUUACUACUGAAUGAUCUCCCUACAGGUUAAUAUUACUACUGAAUGAUCUCCCUACAGGUUAAUAUUACUACUGAAUGAUCUCCCUACAGGUUAAUAUUACUACUGAAUGAUCUCUCUACAGGU